rnacentral:lncRNA from 1 species
GUGGUGAGCUGUGAAUCAUCUGACAGCAAAAUCUUUCGAAACUACUGGUCUUGCUGGUGGUUUGUUGUUGGUCUCGCUGGCAACAUAUCGCUGAUCUCGUUGGCGACAUAAAUCUUCAGGAUAAAUCAAUUGCCAACAUAUAUACCUCCAUUGAUGGGAUCCUUUACAUAGUCAGAUUAUCAGUUCAUAUCAUUCUUAUAUCAAAAUUCUUCAUA